rnacentral:rRNA from 1 species
AGCAGCCGCGGUAAUUCCAGCUCCAAUAGCGUAUAUUAAAGUUGUUGCAGUUAAAAAGCUCGUAGUUGAAUUUCGGGAUUGACACAUCGGUCGUGCCUUAAGGGGUAUGAACUGGUGUAGUCAAUUUCUCACCUUCUGGAGAACCGUCGAUGCCCUUAAUUGGGUGUCGCGGGGAACCAGGACCUUUACUUUGAAAAAAUUGAGUGUUUAAAGCAGGCAUUUUACUUGAAUACAUUAGCAUGGAAUAAUAAAAUAGGACGGCAUGAUUCUAUUUUGUUGGUUUCUAGGAUCACCGUAAUGAUUAAUAGGGAUAGUUGGGGGCAUUAGUAUUCAAUUGUCAGAGGUGAAAUUCUUGGAUUUAUUGAAGACUAACUACUGCGAAAGCAUUUGCCAAGGAUGUUUUCAUUAAUCAAGAACGAAAGUUAGGGGAUCGAAGACGAUCAGAUACCGUCGUAGUCUUAACCAUAAACUAUGCCGACUAGGA